AGUUGUCUUGGGAGUUGGUACUUUCGGUGGUGCGUCACGUAUUGAUGCAACAUCUGGUGCGGUUCUUGCGACAGCUU
rnacentral:tRNA from 1 species